CCAAAACAAUGUACACAUAUGCACAUUAUCAAUUUAAAUGAAAAAAAAAAACACUUAAUACUAAAUGUAAAUAAAAAGCUACACUCCUAAUUCAAUUAUCUUUGAUAUUGCAGCUGUAGACAAGACAAUCUUCACUGUCUUCACUGGUCCAGUCUCUUGUUACCCCAAAUGCAGAUGGAGAUUAUAGAAGAGGAUGAUGUGUCUUUUCUCCAACAUCUAUUGAAGAUCUAGACAGGCUUGAACGAAAGUUAACAGCCAUAGGAUUUAUAUAAAGAAUGGUGAGCAGCUACACAUAAAAGAAGAACAUGGAGAAUCUGCUCAGAGGUGUUCACCUGCAACGCAGCUGCUGUAGAACUAUUGAUGCAGGAGGAAACACAAGCGAGAUGGUUUCUCGACAUCAACUUAGAACGUGGAUCAAAGAUGAAGACAGGGAAAAUGACUUCAAAGAAAACUGGCCAAGUUGUGCAGAAAACGAAUGUCUGCGCUCCGGUGGCUUGCGGUGCCGUCAUCGUCAGCGCCACAAGAGCAGCAGAGUCGUUGGCAACCUUCAGAAAUCCACUGAAGACACAUCACUUUCAUUUACACCUGACCUUGCAUUGCUACCACUUACUUUUUCUCUUAUUCUGUUCUUUCAUAAUGUUUCCUUUAUAUAAAAAAUAACCACGCCUCAUGUACUGUGUUAGGUUGACCGAGACAAGAUUCAGAGCAAUUAUGUACUGCUGCCCUUUUGUUGAUGUGAU